UACAGAGGGUGCGAGCGUUAAUCGGAAUUACUGGGCGUAAAGCGUGCGCAGGCGGUUUUGUAAGUCUGUCGUGAAAGCCCCGGGCUCAACCUGGGAAUUGCGAUGGAGACUGCAAGGCUUGAAUCUGGCAGAGGGGGGGUAGAAUUCCACGUGUAGCAGUGAAAUGCGUAGAGAUGUGGAGGAACACCGAUGGCGAAGGCAGCCCCCCUGGGUCAAGAUUGACGCUCAUGCACGAAAGCGUGGGGAGCAAACAGG
rnacentral:rRNA from 1 species